CCUUCGAUAGCUCAGCUGGUAGAGCGGAGGACUGUAGAGGCAGCGGCUGCUUGCGGGAAUCCUUAGGUCGCUGGUUCGAUUCCGGCUCGAAGGA
rnacentral:tRNA from 1 species